UAUACGGNGGGUAAUAACACUUAGAAAUAGGUGCUAAUACCGCAUAAGCGCACAGCUUCGCAUGAAGCGGUGUGAAAAACUCUGGUGGUAUACGAUGGUUCCGCGUCUGAUUAGCUAGUUGGCGGGGUAAUGGCCUACCAAGGCAACGAUCAGUAGCCGGCCUGAGAGGGUGAACGGCCACAUUGGGACUGAGACACGGCCCAAACUCCUACGGGAGGCAGCAG
rnacentral:rRNA from 1 species